rnacentral:rRNA from 1 species
GACGUAGGAGGCGAGCGUUGUCCGGAUUCAUUGGGCGUAAAGAGCACGCAGGCGGUUUGGCAAGUCGGAUGUGAAAACCCGGAGCUCAACUCCGGACCUGCAUCCGAAACUGCCCGACUAGAGGUAGGUAGGGGAGAUCGGAAUUCCUGGUGUAGCGGUGAAAUGCGUAGAGAUCCGGAAGAACACCGGUGGCGAAGGCGGUCGACUGGGCCAGUACUGACGCUGAGGCGCGACAGCGUGGGGAGCAAACAGG